AGUGAACGCUGGCGGUAGGCCUAACACAUGCAAGUCGAACGGCAGCACAGUAAGAGCUUGCUCUUACUGGUGGCGAGUGGCGGACGGGUGAGGCAUACAUCGGAAUCUACUUUUUCGUGGGGGAUAACGUAGGGAAACUUACGCUAAUACCUCAUACGACCUACGGGUUAAAGCAGGGGAUCUUCGGACCUUGCGCGAUUCAAUUAGCCGAUGUCGGAUUAGCUAGUUGGCGGGGUAAAGGCCCACCAAGGCGACGAUCCAUAGCUGGUCUGAGAGGAUGAUCAGCCACACUGGAACUGAGACACGGUCCAGACUCCUACGGGAGGCAGCAGUAGGGAAUAUUGGACAAUGGGCGCAAGCCUGAUCCAGCCAUACCGCGUGGGUGAAGAAGGCCUUCGGGUUGUAAAGCCCUUUUGUUGGGAAAGAAAAGAAGCAGGUUAAUACCCCGCCGUUCUGACGGUACCCAAAGAAUAAGCACCGGCUAACUUCGUG
rnacentral:rRNA from 1 species